rnacentral:misc_RNA from 1 species
UUUUUAACACCAAACGUGAAAAUAUGCUUGAAAUUGAAAACAUUUAUAAUACUUCUUUACACAUCGUGAAAACGACGUUAGAUUUGUCAGGUUUUCAGGUAAACUGAAACUAAAUUAAACGUUACCCCCAAAAAAUUAGAAAUAAAAAAAGAAGAGCCGAAAGUAAGAGGAAAGAAAGCGCGCGAAAGAAAUUUUUUCUUUAAAUAAUAAAAACAAAGACUUCUUCUCCCUCACUUUCAGAAAACCAACUUCCUUCGCGGCAACGGGGCCUGAUUGCAUUUCCCAGUAAUGGCAGCUAGAUCUCGGAUGGUUUCACCGAUCAAAUCCUUAAAAAUCUGCCUUUCAAUAUCUAAAAUUGCUUCAGACAUCUCAAUUGGGCAGUCUCCCCAUCCAUUGACGGCGUCCCCUGCGAGAUCCUUCUUUAGCAGACCACAAAUCACCUCCAACAAAUCAUCAGAUGCAUCAAAGCUCUCGCGAAUUCUUUGAAAUUCUGACCAAAUUUGUUGCAAUGAAGCUUGUCCACCUGCAGAAUUUGUCCAACUAAUAGUCUUCCAGGGAGGCAAUUGCCUCUUCCGCUUGAGAAUUUCUGUAAUCGUGUCGAAAAUAAGCUUCCUUUGGAGUGUAGAGACUUUGGAAGUGUCGUUCCCCUUUAAAUACUGUUGCUUUUCUAGUAAAAGGAAGACAUCAGAAUCAUCAGGUAAAUAAUUGGCAGCCCUGAGGAUAUCAGAAAUGUAGAUGAAAUCACGUUCGUUUGAAUUUUCCUCUAAUUUUAACUGCACUGCUGGGCCCCAAAUAUCGUCUUCCAGUUCAGCAAAAGGAUCUUGGAAAUCAACGCUCCGUUUCAUAACAGGCGAAGGGGAAGAUUCGUCCUUGUAGAACGACGAAUCAAGAACCGAUACUGGACUGGGUUGCAACUCGGUAGCUGUCAUUUCAGCUAUGCUAUGAAGUAGCUUACCGCACCUCUCCAGCAGAUUCCUACCUUCCUUGUUAUCCUCCAUCUUCGACCUCUCCGUAUCGAUCUGAUAAGACGUGCUGAUACUACUCUCAGAAAUGGAGGAUGAUUCAUCCUCUGCGGGAAUAAACACCUUCUCCUCCUGGUAAAUCUCAACUGUUGGUUUCCUGUUUCUGGGUGAUCGGUUUGUGCUCGGAUCUGGUACGGUUCUCCUCGUACUAACUUUAGGAGACUGAACCGGAGACACUCUUCUUCGCUCAGUUGAAUUAUCACUUACACUCCUCUGCGUUUCAACAGAUAAAGGUCUCCUCCUGUUGGGACUCUUCACGCUGCUCUCACUUCGAGUAGGAGAAAUCGAAUUCCUACCUCUGUUUUGGCUACGUAUAUUACGUUCAAUCUCCGGUCGCUCACGUCUGGGACUCGUUGCAGGCAAUGUUUCGCCGGAAAGAUUCGAGUCCCGGCGAAUUAAGGGCCUGGUUCUAAAACUCGGAGAUGAAUCAUUACCUAUUCUAGCCGGCCGAUUCAUCGGAGGAGAAGGAAAUGUUGAUCUUACCGGCUUCAUUACAACGAUAGGAGAUUCAUCGUGUGAGAAACUCCUGCCGUAUAGAAUUCUUUGAUUGUUUUGGUUUGAUGGCUUUUUGGAAUGUAGAAGGCCUUUGAGUUGCAGAGCCUCGAGGAUUUGCUUGAGAGUCUCGUGAUCCAUCGAUGGCUCAUCGAUUCCUCUCAUUUUUAGCCUCUUCUCAAUCUCACCAUAGAUAGACACAGUAUGUUUAGGAUCAGGGAAGAAAUCAGCCGAAUCAUAGAAGCUCUUUCUUUGUCCUAUGCCUCUGUGAGGUGCCCUAAAACCAGCAGGCUCAACUCUAGCGUUUCUCACAGCAUUAUACUCCUUUGGAUUCACUGUUCUGCCAUUCGCCAUUUGAUUUUUAAUCGCACCGUCUCUAAUCACAUUACUUGGAACAUUGCUCUGUGUACUCUGCUGCGGUGACUGCUUUAACUGGAAAUUGAUGCCGUCGAUGAAUCGGUACUGCAGAAGAUCUCUGGAGGCUCUGGACUCUGAAGCAGAUCUUCGUAGUUCAGGUUUCUUCGCCUGCUCAUUUUCCCAUUCCGGUAAUUGCUCCAGUCCCAUCAGCCUUGCUAUUACGCUAGGCGAUCGGCGUUGCUUCUCGCUAUCAUCUGUUUCGUCUCCAUUCUUCUCGCAAGGGCUGACGGACAAAAUUGCAGCAUUUGCACGGAUCUCUUUCGGUUUAAGGCUUCCUUUGGCGUCGAACGUUGCUCUGCUAUCAAGAGAAAGUCUAGGAGCUUCUUUGCAAAAUUUCCACGAAGACUUAGUCCCUUCUUUCAGCUCAAAAACCGGAAGAGGAAGAGGCAAUUUGGCCUGGGACGACGUCGCCGGAGAUCGGAGCUCCGUCAACGGAGAGUGUUGCUGGUUCAAAUGUCCAGGAGAAGGCAUUGAUAUUGUUUGCUGCUCCUCCGAUACUCUCGAUAUUGCAGGAGACUCCAUAGUCUUCUCCGACUCCGGACUAGAAUCAACUACCGUAGAGGGAGGGAGGCGCUUAGGGGCGUAAAGGCGUUUUCCGGUGAGAAUCUGGUUGCGAUCAAAGAUCUGAAGGAAGCCUGCCAUGCACCCCAUUUGCUUCUCUA